rnacentral:rRNA from 1 species
UGGGGAAUAUUGGACAAUGGGGGAAACCCUGAUCCAGCAAUGCCGCGUGAGUGAAGAAGGCCUUAGGGUUGUAAAGUUCUUUCGCCCGCGAAGAUAAUGACGGUAGCGGGAGAAGAAGCCCCGGCUAACUCCGUGCCAGCAGCCGCGGUAAUACGGAGGGGGCUAGCGUUGUUCGGAAUUACCGGGCGUAAAGCGUUCGUAGGCGGAUGCGCAAGUUGGGGGUGAAAUCCCGGGGCUUAACCUCGGAAUUGCCCUCAAAACUGCACGUCUUGAGACCGAGAGAGGUCAGGGGAAUUCCUAGUGUAGAGGUGAAAUUCGUAGAUAUUAGGAAGAACACCAGUGGCGAAGGCGCCUUACUGGCUCGGUACUGACGCUGAGGUACGAAAGCGUGGGGAGCAAACA